AGCAAAUUUUUCACAGUUAAUCACUACAAACAGCACAGAAUGUAAAAAUCUAGUGUAAAAUAUAGGUUCCACAUGUUGUGUCUGUUCUUGAACGAAUGGUUGUGAAAUUGUGUGUCCAAAUAUUUACUCAAACAUAAGUCUAAGAGGAUUACGAGUCCAUUUCUCCAGCUCAAAGCCGAGCCACAGCCCUGGCAGUGUUCCACAUCUGAUGGGACUUUAAAUAGCAGCGGUGGAUCAUUCACACCGUCUGUAAGAGAGCUGGAACACGGCCAACCUGGAAACAGCUUUAUUCUUCAUUUCCUCUGACCUUGGCAUGUAAAUUACAUUUUUAAAUUCUAACAACACUCAAUGUCAAGGCCAGAGACUCAAACGUAGCUCCGUUUCAAUCAUUUAGAGCUAAUUAUCAACAUGAUCAACAGUAGAAGUUCGUUUUGCUGCUUUGUGAUUAUCAUCACGUUAUUGGCUUUGAGUAUCAUCACAUGAGGGUUCAAGGACCGAUUGUGGCAUUGAAAUACAGCUAUAAAAAUGGGAGCUUCAGUAAUAUGAGAAAUAUGAAGCAAUCAAAUGUUCCUUUCCUCUAGAAAACACAAACACCAUAAUCAUUAACCUCUUAUCCAGCCAAAAUUAUCUGAGAGUAGAACACAUGUUGUUCAUAUUCAGCCUAAUUGCGCUGCUGUUUUUAGAUUAUACAGUCUUAAUUAUUAGUAAUGGCCAGUCAUUGUGUUGAGGAGCUACAAUAACAGUAAGGUAACGGAUAGCUUCCAGAACAUGUGUAGGUGGGCCAAGCACUACAAAGAGCGACUGAUGGCUUUAAUAGGAUCUGUGGCUGUGCUGCUUUGAUGCUGCCGCUGGUUUAUACACUGGGUGGAGGUCCUCGCUUGAGCUUCACCACACCUUUACACCAUGUGUCACUGAUACCAUACUCCAUUAUGACAGCGAUGCUAUAUACACAUGUAGAUAAUGCUGUACAGCCUCACCAGAGAAGCUGAGUGAUGUUCACAAGACCUCAAGGACGAGAAAAACAACUCUUUAUGAAGAAAACAUGAGUGCUAAACUGAGUGACUAUGCUAUGUGGUUUCUAUAAAGUUACUAGGGUGAGCUGCGUGUUUUCCAGGGCAUAUACAACUGUUAGGGUGUUCUACUGUAGGUGGUUGCUAUACAGUUGCUAGGGUGUUCUAUGUAGUUGCCAACUUGUUGCUAAGCAGUUGUUAGGAAGUUGUUAGGGUGAUCUGCGUGUUUUCCAGGGCAUAUACAACUGUUUGGGUGUUCUACUGUAGGUGGUUGCUAUACAGUUGCUAGGGUGUUCUAUGUGGUUGCCAGCAUGUUGCUAAGCAGUUGUUAGGAAGUUGUUAGGGUGAUCUGCGUGUUUUCCAGGGCAUAUACAACUGUUAGGGUGUUCUACUGUAGGUGGUUGCUAUACAGUUGCUAGGGUGUUCUAUGUGGUUGUCAGCGUGUUGCUAAGCAGUUGCUAGGAAGUUGUUAGGGUGAUCUGCAUGUUUCCCAGGGUGUUGUGAUACAGUUGCUUGUGUGUUAUAGAUGGUUGCUGUGCAGCUUUUAGGGUGUCUUUUAUCCAGAGCAAAUUACACCUAUUUGUAAGCCGAUUUGGAUAAAAGUGUCUGCUAAAUGACUAAAUGUAAGGUGGUUGCUAUGUAGUUGCCAGGGUAUCUUUUAUCCAAAGCCAGUUUGUAAUUUUUCUAAUAUCAGACUAAAAUGUU
ensembl:lncRNA